GAGGAGUGUGGUUGCAAAGCUUGAAAUGUGAAUAGCCAGGCUCCAUGGGGUGUGGAGCCUGCAGCUCAAUUUGAAUGAGGUUGGCUUCCCCAGCCCUGGACCCAGAGGGAAUGGACUCACAGCUCUUUCUCCAUGCUGUGGAUGGAGGUGCAUGGCCUUAGCUGGCAGAGUGAUUUGUCUGGUUAAUAGUGAUAGACAAUGGCAGGUGGAACUGUUAUGUGACCCACCUUGGUCCCUCAACUUAGAAGUCAAGUGGUGUUCAGCCUUAUGAAAAGCUUGUUGUCAGUUGCUGCACAUGCUCUACAGUAACUAGCUCAGCUUGUGCCCUUCCCCUCUAUGCCAGCAGGCACUGAUUACCCAAUGAACUGGUCUGUGCUGGGGCUGGGGAAUGGCAAUUUUUCCCCAACAAGGAGUUCCUGCUAAGUGGGGAUAUAAGGUUACAUUGAGUUCCUAACCUUGACA
rnacentral:ncRNA from 1 species